CCGAAACGUCAGCGAUGGAAUCCCUUCUCAUGAUCUGGUCACCCCGACUUCCACCUCCAUCUCUUUUUCUCCAAACGACACAAAUCCCUUGGGGCGAUGGACGCAGCUGAGCCCAGCCUCCUCUAGGCUUCGCGCCCACGAUCGGGAUGAGAACUGGCGGCUACGGCGGCGACGGCGGGGCAAAGGCACGAUUGCAAGACCAUCGAUUUGGAGGAUGGAUUGUCAGGAUGGAUCAUCAUCGGCAGGUAAGGUGUGGACAUUGAGAUGAUCCGGAUGGAUCAAUCAAAUACAUAUGGAUCAAUCAAUUAUCUGUAUCCUUCCUCCUUCUAUUGGUAUUGGAUUUAUUUUCAUGAUUCAUUGGGUGUUAUUGGCAACAUCUCCAAUGUCUCCACCAUAAAGAACUCUAUCUCUGUGUGAAGGACAAGUUCCCCUACUAGCACUGAAUACAUCGCCCAUGAGCAGGUUAAUCCUCGAUUACAUAUACUAUGAAUUGAUCUUGCCCAUGAGCAGGUUAAUCCCCGAUUAUAUAUAAUAAAUUGAUCUCAUCCUGCCAUUAAUUUGCUUCAUUCAUCUCUUUUUCCACUUAUAAAAAUUAUAAGCUUACAAAAUUUGGAAUUCCGAUCUACAAGUGGUUCUCAGAAUCUGCUGUAGCAAUAAGCAAUAAGCAAAGUGCUUGUCGCUUUCUACCAGCAAGCACGAUGCAUCUCAGUCUCAGCCUCUCUCAGGUACAAAGAAGUAAUGCCUUUACUUUUUUGUCGGGUGACCACCAUCACUUGAGUUGUACCGACAUGACCGGCUGCCUCCAACCAAUCUACAUUUUAUGACGACCAACUACUGCUGGAUUAUUGGGUGUUUAUAGUGUUUUAACUGGUUAUGUCAGUUUUUUUAAUCGUUGAUUGGUUAUCUUCAGUGCACUUCUCUUCUAGCAUCAGUCAAGUUUGAGGAGCUUUUCCACUCAUGGUUUACUCUAAUUUGUUCAUUAGUAGCUAUCCUCUCAUGGUUUACUCUGAAUUUUUUGCAAGGUGCUUGAUGGAAGGAUCAUCUAAGCAAACAUUUUGUUCUUUUGUACCAUGGUUUCAAGGUGGAAUUAGAAUAUAAUUUCUGCACAAGCCUCGGAUUCCUUGAUGUUUUGCAAAUAUAUGGAACACAUAGAUUCAUGAUGAAGCGUACACAUGGAGAAUUUGCUUUAGGAGAGGACUGUGUGCUGUCAGAAGUUGUGAUAAUCAAGUGUUAGAGAUGGCAAGAACAUGUGGACCAUUAUGCAUGCACCAAUAAAAUGCAGUUAUACAUAUACUUUAGUAUUUUGUAAUCUGUUAUGCAAACAAGAAACCUCUUGAAAAAGAAUCUAAUUUGUACGUACCUUGAGAUUCUAGAGAUUGUUGUUUAACACUGAAUUUACAAUUGUUGUUCUGCAAGAGAGUGUGCUGGAGAAUAGCUUGUGCUAUAUCUACUUCAAAUUUUUUUGACUUGAAGUACUAAAGAUGAUGUCCUUUCAUAUAGGAUUGGUUUGGUGCUUCAGAGUGACAAAUGUUUCCGAUGUUCCAUUGUAACUAUAUUGGAGAGAAACAUGAUGGCACCUUGACAAUUGAGCCAGGUGCACUUACUAUGAAGCUACAUAUAAAAGGAGAAAGUCCCACAGCAACAUGCGGGGUAUCAUCUAGUAUUUACAAAAGGGAGGACACACUACUAUCAAGAAUGUGAGGGUAGAGCAAACAACAAAAGUUUCAACAGUCUACUUGCUUAUGUGAUGAAGGCUACAAAUGAAGCAAAUAUGCCCUAGAGGCAAUAAUAAAGUUGUUAUUUAUAUUUUCUUAUAUCAUGAUAAAUGUUUAUUAUUCAUGCUAGAAUUGUAUUGAC